GAUUACAGGCACGCGCCACCACUCCCAGUUUACACCCCGCCACUCCUGAGCACCGCACACCGGCUUCCUCCCAGUCCCUCAUCUGAGAACUCAUGAAGCCACUUGGAAUCCCUCUCUGCUUUGCCUGGCUCAUUCCAUGUCAAUUUCAGAUCUUCACUUCAGGUCAGCUCCAAGGAGGCUAUCCUUGCCCAUCUUCCUAAAAUAGAGCUCUCAAAACCUGGCUGUUUUCCUUCAGAGCACUGGCCUCCAAUUGCUCCGGUAGAUUGCAAAUGACCUGCUUUCUUUCUGUUCCCGGGCGUUUGGACCCCUGUCUUGGACCGCUGUCGGAUAGUAAAUCCCAAGUAAGGUACCUGCCGUCGGCAGAUUUGAGCUUUCUUCUUGGACACCUAAUACCCAGAGUCCUCCAGGCUCCGGUAGAUUGCAAAUGACCUGCUUUCUUUCUGUUCCCGGGCGGCAUCGGACCCGUCGGAGAGUAAAUCCCAAGUAAGGUACCUGCCGUUGGCAGAUUUGAGCUUUCUUCUUGGACACCUAAUACCCACAGUCCUCCAGGCUCCGGUAGAUUGCAAAUGACCUGCUUUCUUUCUGUUCCCGGGUGGCAUCGACCCGUCGGAGAGUAAAUCCCAAGUAAGGUACCUGCCGUUGGCAGAUUUGAGCUUUCUUCUUGGACACCUAAUACCCACAGUCCUCCAGUAAAUCCCAAGCAAGGUACCUGCCGUCAGCAGAUUUGAGCUUUCUUCUUGGACACCUAAUACCCACAGUCCUCCAGGCUCCGGUAGAUUGCAAAUGACCUGCUUUCUUUCUGUUCCCGGGCUGCGUUCGGACCCCUGUCGGAUAGUAACUCCCAAGUAAGGUACCUGCCGUCGGCAGAUUGGAGCUUUCUUCUUGGAGACCUAAUACCCACAGUCCUCCAGGCUCCGGUAGAUUGCAAAUGACCUGCUUUCUUUCUGUUCCCGGGCUGCGUUCGGACCCCUGUCGGAGAGUAAAUCCGAAAAAAACAAACAAAGACAUGGAUUUACUGUGCAUAUUAGCAGAUCCAUACUGGAAAAUGCAUGGAGGUUUCAUAUACACCACUUACAGUUUUCAGCUCCUCAGUAGUGACAAAGCCAUACCCAUCAUUGUCGAUUCGAUCAACAAUCUUCCCUAGCCUCUCCUUGCUCUCGUCCGGGGUGAGCUCGUCGAAGUUCUUGGAGUCCUCCUUGCCCAGGAAGGCCUCGUGGUCGUACUGGAAGCUCUGGUUGUCCUCAGGGGGCCGCUCGCCCAGCUCCGAGUCGGGCCGCACCACGCGCUCUUUGCGCACCGUGGGCUUGGCCCGCAGAACCCGCGGCGCCAGCACCAGCGCCAGCAGCAGCCCCAGGGCUAACCCCAGGCGGCCACCGCGCGCCAUCGUCCCGAGGAGAGGGCGGCCGGGAGGGAGACGCUGAGCGAGCGACAACAGCGGCAGCUCGGGAAUGGGGGCUCGGAGCGCGGCGGCC
rnacentral:lncRNA from 1 species